GGUUGUCUCUUCCCUCUGCACGGUGCACUGCCGCUGGGGAGAGAGGUCGCUGCUCUCCUCUCCCUGUAACUCAGGCUGCCGCUGGGGAGGGAGGUCGAUGCUCUCCGCUCCCUGUAACUCACUCUGUCGCUGGAGACAGGGUGUCCAUAUCCCCAUCCUCCACAGGUUGCACUCAAAGUCCCGUGCUGCUUGGUUGUCAGCACUCAACUGGCGCAUCACUCGAUGAGCCACAUCAUUUGAAGGGUUCGGG